rnacentral:lncRNA from 10 species
CUUCCUCACAGAUGUCAGAGAAUUACGAAGAAUGGAUGAAGCCUCUCUUUGAAGUGAAUGUGAAAUAGAUAACACAGAAAAAACAGAACGACUCUGGGCCAAUGGAACAGAAUCACAGCACAAGGGUGUUGAAGAUAUUGCUGAGAGUGGCUGAAAUGACAGUGGGAUGCAGAAGGAAAAACAAUCAGAGCUGGGCUCGAAGAGUGAACUGAAGAGGAGGAGGUUCUGGAACUCAUUUCUUAAUGAGAUAUGCCAUGCCAUGAAGUAUAUAACAUAUGCCAUGAAGUAAUGGAGAGAAAUCUGAAAACAUUCCCUAAGGAGUGAUGUAUGCAUUGAACUUGUCAGAGGAUAGAAGAGGUGAAGUCAUUAAACAACAAUCGCCAUGUCUCCUGCUGCCCCAAUCUAUAAUCCCCAUCUGGCUUCCCCCUGUAUAAAAACACCUGUGACUACAUCCAGAUAAUCCAGGAUGAUCUUCGAAUCUCAAGAUCCUCAACAUAAUCACAUCUGCAAAGACCCUUUUUCCGUAAAAGGUAACAUUUAUAGGCUCCAGUUGAUUAGGACCUGAUGCCUUGGAGGCCGUUAUUCACCAUACUGCUGUAAUUAAUAAAUAUUUUUCAUCUGCUUUAUU